AAUGCCAGUCUCCGAAAACAAUAUCCAGCCUUGUACAACAUCGCUCGCGAUAAGAAUAAAAUAAUUGCGCAGGUGCUCAGUUCAUUCCCGCCCAAUAUUUCAUUUAGGCGGGAUUUGAUUGGGCCCCGUCUUACAUCAUGGCAUAAUCUUUUAUACCGUCUGGAUUUGAUCAAUUUGACACAAGGCCGGGAUGUGUUUUGCUGGAACCUUACUGCAUCGGGAUCUUUCGCAGUAGAAUCUAUGUACCGUGUGCUCACGCAUUCUGAGGUACCAGUGAGUAACAACAAGAAAAUCUGCAAGUCAAAGAUUUCACUAAAAGUUAAAAUCUUCAUGUGGUAUCUUUGUGCGGGAGUUGUUCUAACCAAAGACAACCUCGCACGGCGCAACAGGCCAGGGAGUAAGAAGUGCUGUUUUUGCAUUCAUGAAGAGACAAUCAAACACCUCUUUUUCCAAUGCAAGUUUGCACGUUCUACGUGGUCAGUCAUCCAAAUAACGUUAAAUUUGUAUCCACCCACAAGUGUCGCCAAUAUUUUUGGUCAUUGA
rnacentral:rRNA from 1 species